rnacentral:sRNA from 1 species
CAUAAGUAGCGAUUGUAGCGGCACUAAAUUCGGAUUAUCAAUAUAAAGUGACGCUUGGAACCAGUCAUUCCAGUAUCCUAGUGUAGAGAAAAGCGCGAUUGUCG